CAAAUUAUAACUUAAAAAAAGUAUUUUAUUUACAUUAAAAUAAUAUCGUUUAAAUCGAUUAAUUUGA
rnacentral:tRNA from 1 species